UUUGAGAUUUCGGAUUUUUCUCUUCCUCUUCUGGUUGUUGUGUUUCUGUGACUUGAAAAGGGGAUCAAAUCAGGUAUGAAUGAUGAGGUUGUGGAGCUAGGCACUGCUGAGGAGGGAAGGGCUGAUGCUUAGAAUUCCUUGUCGGUUCGAUUUGAUGAUAAUGGUUAUGAUUUAUGUUUUAUGAUGGGUCUCAUGUUGGGACGUUUUGUUGGUUUGACUUUAAGACAAUAUGUCCUUGGGCAUGAUGUAGGUGUUGUGGUGGGAUGAUGGUAAUAGUGUAACUUCUAUGGUGGGGUGAUGGUAUUCCCGCAUAAGAAGGUUAAAUAUCUUUUGGAUGUGUUGUAGGGAUGGAGCCCCCUUUUUAUUGGAACUAGCGAUGUUUUAAAUGAGCGAAUGGUGGACUCUGAGAGUCCUUUGGGUAAUAUGUUGAACA